GAUGAACGCUGGCGGCGUGCCUAAUACAUGCAAGUCGAGCGAACAGACGAGGAGCUUGCUCCUCUGACGUUAGCGGCGGACGGGUGAGUAACACGUGGAUAACCUACCUAUAAGACUGGGAUAACUUCGGGAAACCGGAGCUAAUACCGGAUAAUAUAUUGAACCGCAUGGUUCAAUAGUGAAAGACGGUUUUGCUGUCACUUAUAGAUGGAUCCGCGCCGCAUUAGCUAGUUGGUAAGGUAACAGCUUACCAAGGCAACGAUGCGUAGCCGACCUGAGAGGGUGAUCGGCCACACUGGAACUGAGACACGGUCCAGACUCCUACGGGAGGCAGCAGUAGGGAAUCUGCCGCAAUGGGCGAAAGCCUGACGGAGCAACGCCGCGUGAGUGAUGAAGGUCUUCGGAUCGUAAAACUCUGUUAUUAGGGAAGAACAAAUGUGUAAGUAACUAUGCACGUCUUGACGGUACCUAAUCAGAAAGCCACGGCUAACUACGUG
rnacentral:rRNA from 1 species